rnacentral:rRNA from 1 species
UACAGAGGGUGCAAGCGUUAAUCGGAAUUACUGGGCGUAAAGCGUGCGUAGACGGUUAUUUAAGUCAGGUGUGAAAGCCCCGGGCUCAACCUGGGAACUGCAUCCGAAACUGCCUUGCUAGAGUAUGGGAGAGGGAAGUGGAAUUUCCGGUGUAGCGGUGAAAUGCGUAGAUAUCGGAAGGAACAUCAGUGGCGAAGGCGACUUCCUGGACCAAUACUGACGCUCAGGUGCGAAAGCGUGGGGAGCAAACAGG